rnacentral:rRNA from 1 species
UACGGGAGGCAGCAGUGGGGAAUAUUGCACAAUGGGCGCAAGCCUGAUGCAGCCAUGCCGCGUGUAUGAAAAAGGCCUUCGGGUUGUAAAGUACUUUCAGUCGUGAGGAAGGUGUUAAGGUUAAUAACCUUAGCAAUUGACGUUAGCGACAGAAGAAGCACCGGCUAACUCCGUGCCAGCAGCCGCGGUAAUACGGAGGGUGCGAGCGUUAAUCGGAAUUACUGGGCGUAAAGGGCACGCAGGCGGUUAAUUAAGUUUGGAUGUGAAAUCCCCGGGCUUAACCUGGGAAUGGCAUUCAAGACUGGUUAGCUAGAGUCUGUAGAGGGGGUUAGAAUUCCAUGUGUAGCGGUGAAAUGCGUAGAGAUGUGGAGGAAUACCGGUGGCGAAGGCGGCCCCGUGGACAAAGACUGACGCUCAUGUGCGAAAGCUGGGGAGCAAACAGGGAUUAGAUACCCGU